rnacentral:rRNA from 1 species
UACGAAGGGGGGCUAGCGUUGUUCGGAAUUACUGGGCGUAAAGCGAACGUAGGCGGUGUUCCAUGUCAGAGGUGAAAGCCUGGGGCUCAACUCCAGAAUUGCUUUUGAAACGGGGACGCUUGAGUCCGAGAGAGGGUGGCGGAAUUCCUAGUGUAGAGGUGAAAUUCGUAGAUAUUAGGAAGAACACCAGUGGCGAAGGCGGCCACCUGGCUCGGUACUGACGCUCAGGUUCGAAAGCGUGGGGAGCAAACAGG